UUUUUUACCUUUUUUUAUUUCCUUUUUUUUUUUCUCUCUUUUUCUUUUUCCUUUCUUCUUCUUCUCUUAACUUUCUUUUCCUUCCUUUCAAACUCUAGCCGCCACCAUUGGUGGCUCUUUGCUCCGUUCGGCGGUGUAACGGCCGGCUUCCUUCUCCUCUCUGUCUCCCUUUCUUUUCUCUUCUCUUUUCUUCCUUUUUCCUUUGGGUUGCUGUUUUUUUCUUUUUCUUACUUAUUGCUUAUUGCUUUUUCAUUUUCUCUUUGCUUGUAGCCUUGUUUGAUUGUGUUGUAGGUGCGGGGACGGUGGUGACAGUGCUGUAGUGGUGGUGGUGACGGUGCUGUCGUGGUGGUGGGGACGGUGGCGCGCGGUGGAGCUGCUAUUUUCCUUGUGGCAGAAGAGCCAUCAUGGCCUAGGGAGGCUGCUGGAGUAGCUCGGCUGGGAGGGGUAGGCUCGGUUGUUGCUGCUGCGAUUAGACAAGUCCAGAAGGACAAGAUUGCAUAAGAUACAAAGUUUCUGGGGCGAAAGUGCAAUUUUAGCAAAAAUUGGGCCAAAAUGUAAUUUCUUGAAAAUUUAGGGCCCUGAAUGUAAUUUAUAAAAUAUUAGGGGUCAAAAUGUAAAUUUAGAAAAAACUAGGGGUCAAAAUGUAAUUUUUGAAAAAUUCAGGGGCUAAAACGCAAUUUUUAAAAAAACGUAAAUUCGUCCCGGACAAAAUUAA